rnacentral:lncRNA from 1 species
GUGCCCUCACCUUGGAUUCCUCCUGCCCUCUUCUGCUGAGAUGGAGAAAUGUUCCAGCUUCUGGAAGGACAUCAGGACAAAGAUAUGUAAUGAAAAUAAGUCCAGGAUGGCUGUCCUUGUGGGCAUCAGGUGCUGGCAUCUGCAUUGCUGCUGCCAUGAGCAUGGCACAGCAGGUAAAAGAUUGCUUUUCCUUGUGUGACACAGGAGCUCUUGACUUGAAAGCUAGAGGGAUGCAAUAGAAAGAGCUGCAACCUCUGCCAGACAUGGCAAAGUGCCAGAUAAACAGGGGAGAGUGUGCCUGCAACUUGGACCCCUUCUGCCCUGUUCUGCUGAGAUGGAGAAAUGUUCCAGCUUCUGGAAGGACAUCAGGACAAAGAUAUGUAAUGAAAAUAAGUCCAGGCCUGCUGUCCUCGUGGGCAUCAGCUGCUGGCAUCUGCAUUGCUGCUGCCAUGAGCAUGGCAAAGCAGGUAAGAGAUUGCUUUUCCUUGUGUGACACAGGAGCUCUUGAGUUGACAGCUAGAGGGAUGCAAUAGAAAGAGCUGCAACCUCUGCCAGACAUGGCAAAGGUGAGUGGGAUGUUGUUUCAAUUAGUGCUGAUGUCAGGAAGGACUGUAAGGAUGGAAAGGCUGGUGCUUGCCAUGGGCAGGGAAACACAUCUGGUUUUCAUUUUCUCUUUCUCUUUGAGUGCCAGAUAAACAUGGGAUAGUUUGCCAUCAACUUGGAACUCUCUUGCCCUCUUCUUCUGAGAGGGAGAAAUUUCCAGUCUUCUAGAAGGACAUCAGGACAAAGAUAUGUAAUGAACGUAAGUCCAGGCUGUCUGUCCUUGUGGGCAUCAGCUGCUGGCAUCUGCAUUGCUGCUGCCAUGAGCAUGGCACAGCAGGUAAGGGAUUGCUUUUCCUUGUGGGACAGCUGUUAAGCCAUUCUGAUUCACCCUUUGCAUCCACAGCAUACAGUUUUUUCCCACACUGCUGUUUCUAUCCUGCCGUGUGCAUAUGUGCAGUGCUACAGAGGUUGGUGGCCCUGCCUGUGGCAGGGGCUUGGAGAUUCCAGAUCCUUGAGGUCCCUUCCAACCCGGGCCCUUCCCUGUGUGUGUGUGUGAGACUAAAUAAACACCAAUUGUUGCUAGCUCA